rnacentral:tRNA from 2 species
GGAGGGGUAUCCAAGUCCGGUGGAAGGGAUAAGUCUCGAAAACCGACAGGGGUUUAACGGCUCGUGGGGGUUCGAAUUCCCCCUCCUUCA